GGUGAGAACAUAUUUUCCAAGUUAGAAAACUGAAAACUAAAAAUUGUGAAAACAUCUACCCGACCGAGAAUUAUUUUACCAGUUUAAUAUUUAAAGAAACAAGUUGUACCAAGUAUAUUAACAAGAUUUUCUAAAAAAAUAGCAAGAGUAAAUCCUGAGAUUGGAAUAGAGCUUCCAAGAUUUGUUAAUUCAAUGGGAGAUAACUCUGUAAAAUAUGCAGAUUUUAAUGCAGUUGAUAUUCAAAUCAUUAUUCUUUGACUUCCUUUUAGUUUUCCAUCUUUAUAUAUUAAUUUUACAAACUUAGGUGUUGAUGUUAUACUAUUGUGAACAUGUAGUAAGAAAUCAAAACAAUAUUUAGUAAAUGUUUAUGUUGACAGAAAUGGAUUUAUAAAAUAUAUAAUAAUGUAUCCAUUUUAAUUCCUUUUUAGGUAACCUUUCUGUGACAUGAUUUUCAUGGUGUUGGAUUAUAAAACUUUGGGGUCUAAUACAUCUAAAAGGAAGGUUAACAUCACAGCUUGUCCGUAAGGAUUGAGGUUGGGAAUGGCCAUUGGAGCUGACUUUUUUGGUAACUUUAACUGUGGCUGCAUGAAAAUGAUUGCGUGACUGUACCAGUAAAGAAUGUAAUUUAGACAAUUUUUGUGUAUGUUUGAGAAAAUGAUUAUAAUUUUUUACAAAAAAACAAAUAGUGUAAAGAUUCUCCAUUUUCAACAAGAUUGUAAGUUAUAGAUAACUUAUUUUGAAUUUUAAAAUCUCUCUUUUUUUUACCAUUAAAACCAAAGGAUAUAUUCAGGUAGCUCUACUCAUGUCCAUUCUUGACAAUUUUUUUGUCAUGCAUAUUGAUACUGAAUUGGUUUUUGGUAUGUAUAGUUUUGUUUUGAGUUCAUAGUUCAGAUUCAAUCAUGUAUUCAUUAUUUUUUUUCCCCUGUGGCUAGAUUUAAUUGGUACUUUGAAAAUGAAUUGAAAUGGACCAAUUUUAUUUGAAGACCUACUCUUUUAGAUAUAUUAAUAAUGGUCCGUGUCUAGUCAAAACACUUCCAGAAGUUAAGGAUGGAGAAUCUUAAAAAAAAAAGAAAAAAUGAAAUGUAUAUUUUGGCUUUCACCGUUG